ACGAGUAACGGGUCCUGUUGGGCUCGCACUCCAACCCUAUGCUUACCUGCUCUGUGCCUCGGCAGGCCGCCUUUAGGCCACACCUGCCGGGAGAGGGGCCGCGACAGACGGCUGGCUUUAGCCUGCUCAAAGCGCGGCUUUGACCAACCAAACUCUGCGUAAAACUUUGAGUCUGAUCUAAAAUGUAUGGCAUUAA
rnacentral:misc_RNA from 1 species